rnacentral:rRNA from 1 species
UACGUAGGGUGCAAGCGUUAAUCGGAAUUACUGGGCGUAAAGCGUGCGUAGGUGGUUUUUUAAGUCCGUUGUGAAAGCCCUGGGCUCAACCUGGGAAUGGCAGUGGAUACUGGAAAGCUAGAGUGCGGUAGAGGGUAGUGGAAUUCCCGGUGUAGCAGUGAAAUGCGUAGAGAUCGGGAGGAACACCAGUGGCGAAGGCGGCUACCUGGACCAGCACUGACACUGAGGCACGAAAGCCAGGGGAGCAAACGGG